AUUGAACGCUGGCGGAAUGCCUUACACAUGCAAGUCGAACGGCAGCACGGGAGCAAUCCUGGUGGCGAGUGGCGAACGGGUGAGUAAAGUAUCGGAACGUGCCCAGUCGUGGGGGAUAACGUAGCGAAAGUUACGCUAAUACCGCAUACGAUCUAUGGAUGAAAGCGGGGGGAUCGCAAGACCUCGCGCGAUUGGAGCGGCCGAUAUCAGAUUAGGUAGUUGGUGGGGUAAAGGCUCACCAAGCCGACGAUCUGUAGCUGGUCUGAGAGGACGACCAGCCACACUGGGACUGAGACACGGCCCAGACUCCUACGGGAGGCAGCAGUGGGGAAUUUUGGACAAUGGGCGAAAGCCUGAUCCAGCCAUGCCGCGUGCAGGAUGAAGGCCUUCGGGUUGUAAACUGCUUUUGUACGGAACGAAAAGGUUUGGGCUAAUAAGCUGAGCUCAUGACGGUACCGUAAGAAUAAGCACCGGCUAACUACGUGCCAGCAGCCGCAGUAA
rnacentral:rRNA from 1 species